GGGGGGGGGGGGGGGGGGGGCGGGGGGGGGGGGGGCGGGCGGGGGGGGGGGGGGCGGGCGCCUGGGGCGGUAGCGGCGGGGGGGGGAGUACCACGUGGGGAACCUGCCUAUCAGGCUGGGAUAACUUCGGGAAACCGGAGCUAAUCCCGGAUCACAUGUUGAACCGCAUGGUUCACCAGUGCAAGACGGUCUUGCUGUCACUUAUAGAUGGAUCCGCGCCGCCUUAGCUAGUUGGUAAGGUAACGGCUUACCAAGGCAACGAUGCGUAGCCGACCUGAGCGGGUGAUCGGCCACACUGGAACUGAGACACGGUCCAGACUCCUACGGGAGGCAGCAGUAGGGAAUCUUCCGCAAUGGGCGAAAGCCUGACGGAGCAACGCCGCGUGAGUGAAGAAGGUCUUCGGAUCGUAAAACUCUGUUAUUAGGGAAGAACAAAUGUGUAAGUAACUAUGCACGUCUUGACGGUACCUAAUCAGAAAGCCACGGCUAACUACGUG
rnacentral:rRNA from 1 species